rnacentral:rRNA from 1 species
GACGUAGGGCGCGAGCGUUGUCCGGAUUUAUUGGGCGUAAAGAGCUCGUAGGCGGCUCAUUGCGUCAACCGUGAAAACCAGCAGCUCAACUGUUGGCUUGCGGUUGAUACGGGUGGGCUGGAGUUCGGUAGGGGAGACUGGAAUUCCUGGUGUAGCGGUGAAAUGCGUAGAGAUCAGGAGGAACAUCAAUGGCGAAGGCAGCUCUCUGGACUGUAACUGACGCUGAGGCGCGAAAGCGUGGGUAGCAAACAGG